UGUUGAUCUUCUGUGUUACUAAAAAGAAACGAAACACAGCUAGCAACGUUAGCUUGAAGAGCUGCGACGUCCAGUUUUUUUUCUACUAAUUUGGAAACCUAUAAACAGGUACGCUGGAAUUUUCUGACACUCACUCGGACAUGUCCUAUGUCUUCAUCAAUGACUCGUCGCAGACCAGCGUGCCUCUGCUGCAGGCCUGCAUCGACGGCGACCUCCCGUUCGCCAAGAGGCUCCUGGAGACCGGCUGCGACCCCAACAUCCGCGACAACCGCGGUCGCACCGGCCUCCACCUAGCCGCCGCCCGUGGCAACGUGGAGAUAUGCCGCCUGCUGCACAAGUUUGGCGCCGACCUUCUGGCAACGGAUUACCAAGGGAACACGGCGUUGCACUUGUGCGGCCACGUGGAUACCAUACAGUUCCUGGUGUCCAACGGAUUAAAGAUCGAUAUCUGUAACCACAAUGGUUCGACUCCUCUGGUGCUGGCAAAAAGACGUGGGGUCAACAAGGACGCCAUUCGCCUGCUGGAGGGCCUGGAGGAGCAGGAAGUGAAGGGUUUCAACAGAGGGGCUCACUCCAAACUGGAGACCAUGCAGAUGGCAGACAGUGAGAGCGCGAUGGAGAGCCACUCUCUGCUCAACCCCAACCUGCAGAGCAGCGAAGGCGUCCUGUCCAGCUUCCGUACCACCUGGCAGGAGUUUGUGGAGGACCUGGGCUUCUGGAGGGUCCUGCUGCUGCUGGUGGUCAUCGCCCUCCUCUCCCUCGGCAUCGCCUACUACGUCAGCGGCGUGCUGCCUUUCUCCAGCAGCCAGCUGGAGUUGGUUCACUGAGGAGGAGGAGCAGGAGGAGGAAGUGACAACGGUGGAAAAGGAACAGCAUGGAGGGAAGAAGUUGAGUCAAAGUUCUGCUCAAACAAAAACGUAGAUUUAUUUGCUGCCCAGAUUCAUUUUUAUCAUCUUAUCCUGUCAGCUAAACAAAAGAUCUUAACAAAUUCUCCUCUAAUUUUUGCCUUUACUUAAUGUAAAAUUGUUGAUUAUUUCACUAAGAGGCAGGAGAACAUUUAGUUUAGUUUCAGUCUUGUGUUAAAUCUUGAAUCUGAAGUGAGAACGACUGAAGCUGGACUCAUCCAGAAUCAUCUGCUCCUGUUGUGUUUGACUCUAACUCUCCAACUGUCCUUUUCCUGUUACAAUCUGUACAUUUCAGUGUUUGUAUCCUUUAUUUUGACAGUGUUCUCUUAAUAUUAUUUAUUAUGUAUUCAUUUUUCUUUAUACUGACUGUUUAUUUCACUCCUACAUCUCUGCUGUCUUUAUUGGCUGAAACCCAAAUAGCAUUAAAUAAAUUUUUUAUUU